GAAAAGAGCAUUCUUCAAUCAUACAUGCUAAUUAACAGAGUAGAAGAAACGUUUUUAAUGGUUGUAGUAAACAAAAAAUGGAAAAUUAACAGCUACAAACAUUGAUAGCUGCAAUUACACUUGAUUGUUUUAGCUUGCUUGCUUACUUGUGGAGUUCAUAUUAAUACAUUUAUACAAAUUAAAGAAUAAAGGAUCACAUAAUUUUGUUAUUCCCUCAAUUUGAUCAUCUGUUGAAAUGCAUGACUUUGGGUGCAAAUCUCAACAGCCUAUCCAAAGCGGUAGGCAUGAAUUUCCUUGCAAACAAGAAACAAGUGGUGCUGCUAUUUCCAUUAUACUCACAUUUUCUGCCACUCCUUAGCCUCUCCAAGAACUCCACCGUCACCUCCGUUCUUAUAAACCGAGUCGGGUGCGGCCCUCCUCUCGACCAGUCUACCCAAGUCAGAGUCCUAUUCGAGUUCCUCUUCCCAUGUUUCAUGCUCACAAAUGUUGGCAAAUAAUGUUCGUCUGCAUAACAAGGACCCUUGCAGUACUUCUGGAAAAUGGGAAAGUAUUUUUGAUCUGAUAUAACUUCAAGGGCUAGUUGUCGAUCCAUUUCAAACCACUGGGAGCCUUUCCUCCAUUGCUCAAUGGUGAUUUCAGGGCUCAUGUGGUGGCUAUAUCGGCCGCGGCCAACAGGACCCUCUAAGUCAUAGGCCUCCACAAAAUUUUUGGUAGAGUUCAUUAGGUAGGAGUAGACAGUGGAGAAGUUGAAGAGAGGAAUGCAUGAUUCUGAGAGGAGAACAAAACGCUGGUUUGAGAUGUCAAGAAGUGCAUUAGCUAAUAAACGUAUCUCUGCUUCGAUCAUGUUCACUUUUCCCCAUUGAACAUCCUUGCUGGGAAUUCUUCGGCCAUGAAACACAGGACUUUCAGGAUAUGAUUCAUUAUAGGACGGACUUGAAUGCACAUAAAUUGAAUACAAUCCUUGAUGCCCCUUGAAGAAUUUCUCCCACAGUGGAGCCAUUAAAACUGGACCUUUAGUCAGGAACAAGAAGGCAAUCUUGGGAACUCUAUCAAAUGGAUAUUGGUUUAUCCUGGGAACCAUUGAAGCCCUCCACAACAAUUCCUCAUCUUCCAUAUCAUGCUUAGCAUCAGUAGGAACUUUCAGAUACUCUUUCAAGCCUACACGAGGCAGUACACUUGUCUCAUUCUUUAUUGAUGGUGCUUGUGGUAUUGCUGUAGUAGCAGAAACAGAGAACUGGGUAACAUGGAAAUUGAAUGAUAUGUUCUUGAGAUAGGAACUAAGGAUCACCCCUGUGGCUAGACCACAGCAGAACAAGAAGAAAUAAGAAAGAACAUUCACGAGUUGAAAUUGGGUGUUGAAUGGUUUCGUAAAAGAAGUCAUCAAAUUCUGUUUUUGACUCUUCAUUGCAGGAAAAUUUUUAAAAACAAUAAAAGA
rnacentral:misc_RNA from 1 species